rnacentral:rRNA from 1 species
AGCGGUAGAGAGAAGCUUGCUUCUCUUGAGAGCGGCGGACGGGUGAGUAAUGCCUAGGAAUCUGCCUGGUAGUGGGGGAUAACGUUCGGGAACGGACGCUAAUACCGCAUACGUCCUACGGGAGAAAGCAGGGGACCUUCGGGCCUUGCGCUAUCAGAUGAGCCUAGGUCGGAUUAGCUAGUUGGUGGGGUAAUGGCUCACCAAGGCGACGAUCCGUAACUGGUCUGAGAGGAUGAUCAGUCACACUGGAACUGAGACACGGUCCAGACUCCUACGGGAGGCAGCAGUGGGGAAUAUUGGACAAUGGGCGAAAGCCUGAUCCAGCCAUGCCGCGUGUGUGAAGAAGGUCUUCGGAUUGUAAAGCACUUUAAGUUGGGAGGAAGGGUUGUAGAUUAAUACUCUGCAAUUUUGACGUUACCGACAGAAUAAGCACCGGCUAACUCUGUGCCAGCAGCCGCGGUAAUACAGAGGGUGCAAGCGUUAAUCGGAAUUACUGGGCGUAAAGCGCGCGUAGGUGGUUUGUUAAGUUGGAUGUGAAAUCCCCGGGCUCAACCUGGGAACUGCAUUCAAAACUGACUGACUAGAGUAUGGUAGAGGGUGGUGGAAUUUCCUGUGUAGCGGUGAAAUGCGUAGAUAUAGGAAGGAACACCAGUGGCGAAGGCGACCACCUGGACUAAUACUGACACUGAGGUGCGAAAGCGUGGGGAGCAAACAGGAUUAGAUACCCUGGU